CGGGCUAUAGCGCAGUUGGUAGCGCGCUUCGUUCGGGACGAAGAGGUCGGGAGUUCGAGUCUCCCUAGCCCGACCA
rnacentral:tRNA from 1 species